rnacentral:sRNA from 1 species
GCCGGGCGUGGUGGCUCACACCUGCAAUCCCAGCACUUUGGGAGGCUGAAGCGGGUGAUCGCUUGAGGUCAGGAGUUUGAGUCCAGCCUGGCCAACAUGGUGAAACCCCAUCUCUACUAAAAAUACAAAAAUUAGGCUGAUCAUGGGUGUAAUCCCAGCACUUUGGGAAGCCGAGGUGGGCAGAUCACCUAAGGUCAAGAGUUCGAGACCAGUCUGACCAACAUGGUGAAACCCCGUCUCU